AACGCUAGCUACAGGCUUAACACAUGCAAGUCGAGGGGCAGCAUGGAUCAAGCUUGCUUGAUCUGAUGGCGACCGGCGCACGGGUGCGUAACGCGUAUCCAACCUUCCCGUUACUCUCGGACAGCCUUCCGAAAGGGAGAUUAAUACGAGAUGGUGUUCAAGUGGUGCAUAUUAUUUGAACUAAAGAUUUAUCGGUAACGGAUGGGGAUGCGUACCAUUAGCUUGUCGGCGGGGUAACGGCCCACCAAGGCUUCGAUGGUUAGGGGUUCUGAGAGGAAGGUCCCCCACACUGGAACUGAGACACGGUCCAGACUCCUACGGGAGGCAGCAGUGAGGAAUAUUGGUCAAUGGCCGUAAGGCUGAACCAGCCAAGUAGCGUGAAGGAUGAAGGUUCUAUGGAUUGUAAACUUCUUUUAUACGGGAAUAACACCACCUACGUGUAGGUGCCUGCAUGUACCGUAUGAAUAAGCAUCGGCUAACUCCGUGCCAGCAGCCGCGGUAAUACGGAGGAUGCGAGCGUUAUCCGGAUUUAUUGGGUUUAAAGGGAGCGUAGACGGGUGAUUAAGUCAGUUGUGAAAGGCUGCGGCUCAACCGCAGCACUGCAGUUGAUACUGGAGACCUUGAGUGCAGUAAAGGUAGGCGGAAUUCGUGGUGUAGCGGUGAAAUGCUUAGAUAUCACGAAGAACUCCGAUUGCGAAGGCAGCUUACUGGGCCGUAACUGACGCUGAAGCUCGAAAGUGCGGGUAUCAAACAGGAUUAGAUACCCUGGUAGUCCGCACCGUAAACGAUGGAUACUCGCUGUCGGCGAUACACAGUCGGCGGCCAAGCGAAAGCAUUAAGUAUCCCACCUGGGGAGUACGCCGGCAACGGUGAAACUCAAAGGAAUUGACGGGGGCCCGCACAAGCGGAGGAACAUGUGGUUUAAUUCGAUGAUACGCGAGGAACCUUACCCGGGCUUGAACUGCGGUGGACCGGUCCAGAGAUGGGCUUUCCCUUCGGGGCCGCCGUGGAGGUGCUGCAUGGUUGUCGUCAGCUCGUGCCGUGAGGUGUCGGCUUAAGUGC
rnacentral:rRNA from 1 species